ACACACAUUUAAUAGAGGAGGAAACGUUUGAAGGGGAUACGCUUUUUCUUCUCUUAUAUCUCCUCCAACCUCUCUAUAAAACACCAUAACAGUGUAUGUAAUUCCAUCCAUCGGAAUCAAUCAAUUAAACACCAUUAUGUGAAGUGGAAGAAUCAUAAUAUGAAGUCGUAUACCUUCAACAUAAGGAUAUCAUCUUCUCCAAGGUUUGCUUGAUUCUACUAAUCGGUGUCUAUGUUGCAUGAUAAAAUGGAACCAGAGGCUGUUGUAAAUGAAAACAGACUACUUGGUUGUUUAGAUUCAUUGGCACUCAAGUUUUCAACUGAGGAAGUAGAAUUCAGUUUUAAUGAGUUUGGGCCAGAUGAUGAAGCAUAUGACUACUCAAGAAACACUCCUGAUGCUUUUCAUGAAGAUUAUGUAGGCAAGCUGUUCGAUGAAAUGCCAGGAGACGAGUUUUGGUCUGAACUAAAAGCCAUCAGAUGGUGUCCUAUUUCUGUUGACCCACCUUUUAUCGGACUUCCAUGGUUAGUGCCAGCUCAGCAAAUUGCAGCACCGGAUACUGUCAGGCCUAAAUCACAGAUGUGGCUCGCUUCAUCCAUGAUUGUCAAUCAGAGAGAUCAAUGUUUGAAUCUUCCAACACUCCAUUUUUGGUGUCUGAUUCUCGAGGGGUUCUCAUGGCUGCAAAGGAUGUGAUGAAUAAUGAUGCACCUUGGUUGGACAAUAAUACCCCUCUGGGAAAACAUCUCAUACACUCGAGUAUCAGUCAUGAUAUGGCUAACAGGCUAGGGAUUCAAUCCCUUCGUUCCAUCUCUUUAGUCAGUGAGGAAAUGACAAAAGAUUUACCCUGUAUGGACUAUGCAAAGAUCCAUGAGCUUCUUGAAUUAUAUGGAGGGAAAGAUUUCUUGUUAUAUGAUCUUAUUGAGUUUGCAAACUGAUGUAAAGCCAAAAAUCUUCAUAUAAUUUUUGAAAAAUGCCAACAUCCAUCACAAUCAUUGAUGAUACAAAAUUAAGGAGAUUUUUAAGGGCCUGCCAUUGUUGUUGUACUGGAAGGAGCAAGUUUGAGUAGCGAGGAAAUAUCUAGCCUCAAGUUUCUUCCUCCAUGGGGUUUAAGGGGUGACAUGCUUAAUUAUGGAUUAGGGUUAACGAGUUGUUAUUCUAUAACUGAUCUUCCUUCAGUUGUCUCUGGUGGCUUUUUAUAUAUGUUUGAUCCUUGUGGUAAAGCUUUUACUCUACCUUCAUCAAGUAAUUCUCCAGUUGCAAACAUGUUUACUUUGACAGGUACCAAUUUGACCGAGCGAUUCCGUGAUCAGUUUAGUCCCAUGUUUAUUGGUCAAAAAGUUCUAUGGUCACCAGACUCUACAGUUAUACGAAUGCCUAUUUCAUCAAAGUUCAUUGAAGAUGGAAGACAAAAAUAAAACUGAUAUUUGAAAAUUUCAUUAAGCAUGCCUCUAGAACACUUGUAUUUUUGAAGUCUGUUUCUGAGGUGUCUUUUUCAACAUGGGAAGAAAAAGAGCCACAAUCUUCACAAGAUUUUUUAAUCUAUGUGGAGUCAUCACAUGCAACACUAAGGAAUCCAUUUUCAGAAAAGGAAUGGAAGAAGUUUCAGCUAUCAAAAAAAGAAAUUACAUACAUACUGUUACAGUUAAACAAAGCACAUGAAAGUAAGUAAACUAACUGGAAAUGGUGGGUGGGUUUUGUUUGUAGGUCUGGCUAGCGUCUUCCUCAACCAGAAGAUCUUGUGGCAUAUGCAUGCAGUAGUCAUGAGAAGCCUAGUUUCUUUUAAUAUGGAAACAGAGGUACCCUUUGAGUUGCAUGGGCCACAUGGUGUCCUAAAACAUCUAAAGUAUCUACUCGAGACAAAGGGAUCAACUGUCAUCUGUGUAGCAGAGGGAGCUGAACUUUGUGGAGAAAACAAAUGCUAAGGAUGCAUCUGGGAACGUUGUACUUGGAGAUACUGGCGUUCAUAUACAACAGGAGAUAAAAAAAUAUUUCGAGGAGAUUGGGGAUCCAGCUGAUGUGAAAUACAUUGAUCCUACAUACAUGAUCUGUGCCUGCCGAGCAAACACAUUAGACGGAAUCCUCUGCACGUGCUCGGUCAAAAUGCUGUUUCGAUGUUUUCUUGUCUGGAUACGUUUUUCACUUGAUCAAGAUUUUGCAUGAGAGAGGCCUAGACUUGUUAAAUGGACAAUCUGAAAGUUAUCAAGUAAAGAGAGUUUCCUCAAAUGUAUGCAAGGAAAGAAUUAAGAAUGUUGAAGCUGGCUGCAGGAGAUGUUGGAGCUCUUAGAGAAGCUAAGGACAAACUGGAGAAGUGAGUUGAAGAGCUGAAAUGGAGAUUAGACUUUGAAAAGCAUUUGAGGGUAUAUUUUUUUUAUAUUUUUUGUAUGUAGUUAGUUUGUAAAUUUUUGUUACAACUUCUAUUGAUUUGUUUUAUCUUUCCAUGUAACGACUAUUUGUUUGACAUUAAAUUUUAUGCAAUGGAUUGUAUUUUUUGUA